rnacentral:rRNA from 1 species
AUUGAACGCUGGCGGCAGGCCUAACACAUGCAAGUCGAGCGGAUGACGGGAGCUUGCUCCUUGAUUCAGCGGCGGACGGGUGAGUAAUGCCUAGGAAUCUGCCUGGUAGUGGGGGACAACGUUUCGAAAGGAACGCUAAUACCGCAUACGUCCUACGGGAGAAAGCAGGGGACCUUCGGGCCUUGCGCUAUCAGAUGAGCCUAGGUCGGAUUAGCUAGUUGGUGGGGUAAUGGCUCACCAAGGCGACGAUCCGUAACUGGUCUGAGAGGAUGAUCAGUCACACUGGAACUGCGACACGGUCCAGACUCCUACGGGAGGCAGCAGUGGGGAAUAUUGGACAAUGGGGGAAAGCCUGAUCCAGCCAUGCCGCGUGUGUGAAGAAGGUCUUCGGAUUGUAAAGCACUUUAAGUUGGGAGGAAGGGCAGUAAGCUAAUACCUUGCUGUUUUGACGUUAUCGACAGAAUAAGCACCGGCUAACUCUGUGCCAGCAGCCGCGGUAACAC